rnacentral:rRNA from 1 species
UACAGAGGGGGCAAGCGUUGUUCGGAAUUACUGGGCGUAAAGGGCGCGUAGGCGGCCUGUUGAGGCGAACGUGAAAUCCCCGGGCUCAACCCGGGAACUGCGUCCGAUACUGGCAGGCUUGAAUCCGGGAGAGGGAUGUGGAAUUCCAGGUGUAGCGGUGAAAUGCGUAGAUAUCUGGAGGAACACCGGUGGCGAAGGCGGCAUCCUGGACCGGUAUUGACGCUGAGGCGCGAAAGCAUGGGGAGCGAACAGG